AAAAUAUUUUAGAGUUUUAUUUUCUUAGUUUUGCUGAAAUGACUUGUCUCUUUUUGGUUUUCAAGUAGCAACUUAACAAUCCAACCAUAUAUGUAUUUUUUUCCCACAGACUGAAAAGGCAAAGCUCAUAUAAUAGGGUGGAAAACAUCUGCCAUUGAAAAGGAUUAAAUCCAGAAAAAAAUAAAUUGAGUACACAUUUCAAUGGCAAGGACAACUUUUGAAGUAUACUCCUAUGGAAAAUGCAUCCCUGACUUCAGUCCGAUGCUCUUGGUUGUUCUUGGAAAGAGUAAAUACAUUUAUUGAGUUUAAAAUUGAGAAAAGAUUGCAUGGUAGGUGAAGAUUUGGGCUGUACAGGGACUCAGAGUAUCUGGUUUUUUUCCUCUCCUACAUUUUAAAGAUGUGUGAAUGUGUUGCUCUCGGAAAAGAGAUGGGCCUAGUCCAAGGAGAGUUGGAGAGAGACCUCAGGCAACCUUUCUGUGUUUUCACAUCAGUAUGGAAAACGAUGUGGAUGAGGGAUUUGGCUGCUCAGAAUAUUUAUAUUUAAUUGCUUUAUUUUGGCAGCUUGCUAAAAUUCUAUUGGUUUCUAUUUCAUCUAAAUCUUAAAAAGAAGUUUAGCUGGAUAACUGAAUGAUACAUUCCUUGUGCUGGGGUUAUUUCUCUGCCAAAUCCUAAAAGUCUGCUGUCCUAGAAUGACUUGUAGCAGGUCACACAUUGUGUAUUUUAAGGAGGGUUUUUCUAUACUCCUUGAGUAUAAAAAUUAUUACCAGCUGUGUUGAUAAUAAACAUUUUUUAAACUCUCCUUAUUUAAAAAAAACAAUUUUAUACUACCCACUGUGCAGACAAAACAUUUUUUGUAAAGAAUGCAGUUAAGAAGCCAGUGAAAGUUCUACUAAUAUCAAAAAUAUCUAUAUUACUUGUAAAAAUGUAUUGUGAAACUUUUACCACCCUUAAUAUUUCAGGAAGAGCUCUAAGUGUUGUUCUUCUAGUGAAUUUACCUUUUGUGUUUGCAAAGAUGUCCACAAGGUGACAGGCCUCUGUUUGAAUUUGACGCUCCAAAUUGUUCUUACCGUGUGCCAGGCUUCUUAUAAUUGUCAUGCCAAAGCGUCUUUGUUGUUUCCAGGUGUGGCCAUUUGUCAGGAAAAUACCUGAAAAACACAGAAACACUUAGUUCAUUGCUGGGAAGGGAAAUCUUUUCACUUCAGAAGGCAAAUUUUGAUUUAGAUUAGGUUAUAUUUCACUGACAAGAUAAAAUGAUUUUAGAAGCUGGGAUUUGGUUUCUGAGGACUUUAUCACCUCGGGCUGCUCAUAAAUGUGUCCUUGGAAACUGAGUGAGUUUUGGUAAGGACAGAACAGCUUUGUUUAUAGAUAUCUUCUACAUGAACAGUCCUUUGGUUUAGAAAUGAUACAAUUGAAGGGCAACUUCUCCAGGCAAGUAUUCCUUUGGAUCUAUCGGGAAGGAAAAAGACUGAGUGAUGUGCUUUAUACAACAAGAAAUUUUUGGUUUUUCCUUAACAUGCUUAGCUCUGCAUGAAACAUUUUUGCAAUGAAAGCCCAGUUAUGCCCUGCUACAGCAGUAGCUGAUGGGUGUGCACAGGAAAACCUCUUCCUUCUUUACACCUUGCUCCUGCCUCAGUCUUGUGUAACAUCUUAUACCUUUCUCGCCCAUCAUAUCUCUGUAGAAAGGGGUGAGAGGUCUUCCAGAAACUUCUUCUGAGUGGGUGACGAUGCCAUCUUUUACUGCUUUGUAUCCAUUCAGUACAACCAGAGGUGUCUGUCCCAUCCACAGAGUGUAGAUGUUUCCAUAGAUGUUGGUUAACUGAAGAGUUGAUAACAGGAAAUUCAUAAUUAUAAACCAGGGGAAGCAUGCACUCAAAUAUCAAUUUAUUUAAGGGUUUUCUAUUGUUGUAACUAAAUCCCUUUGUCGGCAUGAAAUUGAAUUGCGUGUUUCAGAAAAAAAAGGUCUUUCUGUUCUUAGUGUGCUUUGGGAACAGAACAUAAUUGUUCUUUAUUGAAUAGAUGCUAAGGACAUCUCUCAGAAGAACACCUCUGGAAAUUUCACUGCAAGAAAAACAGCAGGUUACUCUGUCUGCUCUGAAUCAAAGAACAAAUGAAUACAAGCAAAAUCCCCGAGCUUUUCUCUUUAUUUUAAUAAUGAGCCAAAAUGCUAACUUAGAAAGAAAGCAAAGAAAUGUUCUUGCAUUCUUUUCUAUAGCUUCCACAGGAUUUUUCUUAUUUUCCUCUGUUGUCAUUCAUCGUAUCAUGCUUAUAUUUUUCCUUGCAAUAGUGGGAAGCAAGUUCCUUACUUUUUAAAAGUAGUUUUGAUUGAUUUAUAAAGCAGUCGUGCUGUGAACAUAACAGCAAUCAGAUUUUCCUGCUUUGUUUUAGCAGUAACCUGUUUAUGGCAGACAAAAAAUCCUUUUACUGUGAAAACAAGGAAAAAAAAGAGUCUGUUUAGAGUAUGUGUUUGGUCUUCUAAUGGAGGUGUUCCAGUGACAUUGGUGUCAGGCAAGGGGAGCUCUACUAGAAGUGGCUUACAGGGCUGGAUAUCAACACAGAAACAGAAUGAAACUGCCAAAGAAAUACCAUUCUGUGACAGUGCUCGUGAGAAUGUAACCAAAAGAGAGAGGAAAAUAGCAAGGACUAAAGCAAUGUUGGGGUUUAUUGCUCAGAAAUAUUUUUAAUAAUGCAGGGUCCUUAGAGUCUUUGAAACUGGCUGGUAAUCAAGCUUAAGGUUUAAAAAUUAGCAUUUUAGGCUGUUCCAAUGCAAUGUACAAUUUAAGUUAAAAUAGAUUCAGACUGAUUUUCAACCACAGAGAUUAAAUAAAUACCUUACUGAGAGUUUCUCGGCGAAGUUUGAAGUCCAGCAGCCACAAAUUUCCGAUGAUGGGGAGAGGAACUGGUCCUGGAGGAAGCUGGGUACGCAUCCAUUGCAGCUUUAGGAGCUGCAAAAUCAGGAGACAUACUACCAGAGCUAUAAAAAUCUCAGUAAUCCCCAACAUUUUAUCAAAAUUUGAACUUGUCAUUGGGUUUUGGCUUUUCUUGGUCUUGUCUUUUUUUUUUUUUUUGUAUGACUUCUUCUGAAAAUUUGGAUUUGUGGAGAUGUGUUUCUUCUACUGAAUCCAAACUCUUUCUGAGGAUAUACCUCCUGUAGCCAUCUCUCUCUGACAAUCUACAGUUUUCCCAAGCUGAAGUCCUUAGAAAACCAAACUAUGUGAUCCUUUUUAGUCUGCCAAGCCACACCCACUCUUUUUUUAUGAUCUGUAAUUGUGAUCUGUCUCUUUUUUCACUUAGACUUUCGUUUCCUUUUUAGUCUUGAUACUGGGUCAAAAUGCCAAUUAUUGAACAGUUAUCCUAGGUUAUCAAGAGUUUUGCAUAAUGGUAACAGCUCAGGCAGUUUCAUGUAGUUGAACAUUGAAAUGCAUUAGUUAUUGUCAUUCUGAAAUACUACAAUUAUUGUACGGAUUCUUUGUAGAAGAAGAAGAAACAUCUACACAAUACCCGAGGACUCUGAGGUGUAAAAGAAUGAAUUCAUACAUCAUAAAGCUAAAUCAUUGUCUUUAAAAAGAAAAACAAAAGAUAAUUUAAUAAUUUGGAGAGUAUCUUGUUUCCCCUUUUAUCAGAUUCUAGGUUAAAUUAUAUUAGGUGAACACUAGUGAGAGAGUCUUUUUCUAUCCAUCAGAUUAUAUGGCUUGUAUUUUCUGAUUUUUUUAAAAAAACUUAAUUUUAUGCUAAGUUUUAAAAUCUUCUGGUGCAAAUUUUGGAGGUGAAACAAUGCACAGGUUCUAUUUGAUCUGUGGAAAAGAACAAAUAAAUGGAAGAAAGAGGCAAAACUUUUAAUCCUUACUUUUUAUUUUUGUGGACCCCGAAAGUUUAUAGGAGAGGUUUGUACGGGUGUGUAGCAAGCUCUAACCUGACACUUAACCUUUCACACUUACUGAUAUAUUACACAGUAUUUUUCAAUUACUUGUUCAAGAAUCCAGCUAAUGCUGUCUGUGAGUAUAAAUUGGAGAUUAAGGAAAUCCAUACAAUUGCACAAGUUGCCUGUUUCAAAAUUUUAUCAUAAUUUCUCUGAGCAGGCUUGCUGAAUUUUUCAGUCUGCCCUUUUCAGCUCAAAAAGUUUCUGCAAAAUCAAGAUUAUUGAUUGGAAUCAAUGUCGGUUAUGAUCCUGAGAUAUAAAGGUUUAAUGCUGUGCACGGGCUUCUUAAGAACUGAAUUAAACUUCAAGAAGUCGAGAGUUACAGGUGUGGACACUCAUUUCAGCUAGCUUUCUAAUGAGUUCAAUUUUUUUGUGUGUGGGAGUUAGUAAAAGAAACGUGUUAAAUACAACCUUGCAUUGUUCAGUCUUAAAAAAAAGGUGUAGAUGAGAAUUUGUUGGUUUGGUUUGGUUUUUUUUUUUUGCUCUAGUGGAUUGUAAUAACUUCAGGUUCUGACAGGAAGCCCAGGGGCAGUUUUGGGGGCUGCAGAGCAGCAGUGACAUUGCAGCAUUUUCUUGCCUUACUUUCCUGAGCAGCCACCACUUGACUUCUCUGUGCAGUUCCAUGCACCUCUUCUUCUUUAGUGUGCUGCAUGUGUGGAUGCUUUUGCAGGAAGUGUGGAAGUGGAGCAGCCAUCAGAGGCCAAAGAGCAGGCCUGCAUGCCUCUGUUAUCUGUUUAGGUUUUUUGGGCAGAGAAAUGGAAACAGAAAAAAUUGAUAAGCAUCAUUUCCAGCAGCAUGUUUCUAUGAAUCUUACAGUUCAAGAGUUAAAUAGACAAAAAAUGGAGGGAAGUAGUUUGAAAUUCGAUAACUUCUAUGGUUUUGUCAGCCAGUUCUGACAGUUCCAUAUGUGUAUCAAAAGUUGCAGUGUUAACUGAGUUUUGCUAUUGAGCAGUCAUUUAUCCACCCAUUUUUUCAGAGUUUGAUGCUAUUUGAGACUUUAAAAUGAGUUACCUGAUGAAAAUAUCUAAAUAACUUCACUUGCUGUUUGUCUACAUCACAACUUCAUUUCUUCAUAUGUUUUAUUUCUCGUCAUUUCUUUCAGCCAAUCCUGCCUGGUUAAAAGGAAGUGAGUGCUGUUCUAUUUCUUAUUUGUGCACAGAAUCACUUAUUAAAUUUGCAAGUUUUUCAACAGUUAAAGACCCCUGAAAGCUGUUGAUGCUCACAUACCCAUCAGUGAGGGUAUGAUUUAUACACUUAAAAUUACCAGAAUUAAGAUGAGUUAAGCCUUGAAGUUGCCUAUUAAUAACAGUGAUUAUGAUGCAACUUAAGAAAAGAAAACAAAAAGGAAAAAAGGCUUAAUGUGAGAGAAAUCUGGGUCAAGCUGAGUAAGUCUGGACUCACCAAGAGGAUUGGGCUGAGCCUGACCCUUUGAACUCUGUGGGGAGUGUGUUUUCCUGCUGCUAGGUGAGAGCUGUGGGCAAGCUGAAAUACAGUGAAGCAAAGUCGUUUCACAAAAGCUUGGGCUGGAGCUCACAAAGAGAGAAAAGGCAAGGAAGCUGUUUAAAUACUGCAUUUUUUAAUAUUUUCAGUAUACGUGAGCAGUAGCUCUUCACAUAAAUCUUGCUCAAACUCCUCUGACACAAAUACUAUUGCAAGAGCUGCAUCUCCAAUUAAGAUGACAGAUAUUGUUUGGUUGUUUUGAGUAGAUGAGGAAACCUGCUUUUGUAAUGAGGGUUUCAGGCCAUAGGAGGGGGAAGCAAAGAAGAGCAUCUUUAGGAAGGUGUGAAGCAAAUGAUGAAUGUUCAUGCUGGGGGUGGGAAGGGUUCCUGGCACACCUCUGCCCAGAGGGUGUGUCAUCUGCUCUGGCAGAAAAUCAGGGCUUGUUUUGUGUCUGUUGUAGGGACAGGCUCAGCAGGCAUUGGAAAACACUGCCUGGUGUUCUUGCUGCCUGGCCUGGCCUCAAGCUAAACAGCACAAGCAAUCUAAGCAAGUUUUGGGGUUUGUUUGUUUGUUUUUUUGUUGUUGUUUUUUCCCCCAGUGGAGACGCUAAUUUGGAUUUUUCAUCUUAGCUGUCCCUUCCUCCCCUGCAUUGCCUGAUCUUUCAAGAGCUUCAUAACAGGAGCAGUUAACUGGUUGGAGGCAUCAGAAUUUUUCUGAGGGAAGAGAGUUACACUGACACUCUAUGUCCAGGCAAGCACUGAGAGAGGGAGAAUGUGGCUUAGAGCACAGCUGGAGUGAACACAGGACUGGGAAAUGUGAGCAAAAGAAAUUCCCAUUCUGUGCUUCUGUUCAGUUCAGGAAAAGAGAACUUUGCUUACAUGCAUUAUAAAUAAAGUUGGGUGGGUUUUUUCCUCCAACUGUCACUGUUUUGUUGCGACUUGAAGAUUGAUGAGCUCUUUAGGUUGCAUAGACAAAGUACUGGAAUGGGACUUGAAACUUCAAAUUUUGUUCCUAGGUUUGUUCAUAGCUUCUCUGUGACUCUCAUGAACUUGCUUUAUCUCUCUGAGGCUAAUCAAUCCUGAAGUUCACUUUUCCAAAGAGCUUGAAGGUUGACUAAUGAAAGUCAAGUUGUAGAUGGCAGGUAUGACUGUUUCUGUUCUGUUCUUUCUCUGUAUUUUCUUCCCGCUCCUCUGGUCUAAAAUCUUCAUUAGAAAAUAGGGUUUUCUGAGCUGGCUAAACAUCUUCCAUCUCUGCGAGGAGCUCUUGUGACAGUAUUUGUCAGAUAAUAAUGAGUAAGACUUGCAUGGAGAGGUGCUGCUCAUAUCUAAUGAAGGUAUUAGAACCAGGAAAACUGAUUUUCCCCAAAAGAACUUGCUUGCAGAAAGUGUCUUUGUAAACAUCUGCCUCUACCUGUUUGAUCUCACAACUACUUUAUUAGUAUUUUAGUCCUUAAUUUGUGCACCAAAGUCCUACAAUUCGUGCACACAGAUGGAGUUCAUUUAAAUUCUAUCACUCUGCAUUACAAUGAAUUGUAACAUCCAUCACUUUCUCCUCCUGUUAGUAAUACAUAGUCAUCCUAAUCAUCUAAAAGUAAAGCCAGUUGGUAUAUCUAAUCUUAUAGAGAUUUACCAAGUUUUUGGCAUCACUGACAUGCAGUGAGAGCAGAACUAAAAAAGGCAAGAGCUCUAGCUAUAAGGAAGGAAAGUGACUGCUGUAAACAUUCCUCUUUUUGUUUUCCCAUGGUUUUUGUUGUUGUUUGUUUCAUUUGGGCUUUUUGGUUGGUUAGUUUUGCCUGUUUUGUUGUAAUGCAGUGCUAUUUAGGUGAAAGCAAUGCAGACCUUACACAGGUGCUGUGGUGCUGUAUGCCCUGAUGGUGAGGGUGCUACCAAGGCCUGGUGCCCUUUCAGUCUCCCUGGUUUGUGGAGAGCUGUGUAAUCUUGGCAGUGCUCUGCACUCAGCUGCAGAGGAGCUCAACAGAAGCCAGAAUUUCAUAAGUUGACCACAGCACAUAUCCAUUUCUCACUGAAGUGUCAGGAAGAAGUAAUUAAUGUUGUGCAGACAGUUUUACUUCUGGCAUUUCCUAAUGUUUGAGUAUUUGCAGCCUCAGCAUUCUUUUUGACAAUUUUCCAGAGCAGUAUCUGGUAGUCCAGAUCCUGCACUUGGAAUGUCAGAAGUUGUGGACAGAACAGAAAAUUUGAGGUAAGACUUGUUUGGAUGAAUUUGCCAGGACAAAGGUUUAGAGAUAGCCUAGGACCAACUCUUCCUUUCAUGCAGGUUACUGUCCUGACUGAUUCCUGAACACUGGAAGAAAUUUCUGGAAUCCAGCUCAGAUUAAUUACUGUGUGAGAAAGGAUUUUUUUUUUUUUUUUUUUUUCCCCCCUUCUUUCUCCAGGGAUGUGUUCUUGCCCUUGUCAACAGUGGUUGAGAUGGGUGCCUUGAAUGCUACUGAAGAACUUGGAUGAAUGAGUAAAAUGUGAAAAGAGCUUUCAAAAUGUGCCUGAUGUCGUUUCUGCCAGCUGAUAUGUAACACCAAUGUAUUAUGCAAGAGGAGUUGCGAGGAUGAGUUGAGUUAUUUUAGACUGCAAAUAUUGAGACAGAAUGACAGCUCACAGGGAUAUCUCUGCUGUGAGAGGAGCAACAGCCUCAGAGAAAGCACAGAGCAAGACAGGAGAGAUGUGGUGGAAAUAGCAAUUAAGAUCAGUAAUUGCCUUCUUGUGUUCCUUUUGCAGGGCUAUGUAUAUUUUUGGGCAAGCAGUCAGCACACAGGGACUUCUUUGUCUUCUGCAGCCUUUUGCAAGUGUUUAGAUUCACCCUGUCUGAUGGAAUUAAAGACACUCCUUUGGGGGGGGCACUGUGCAGCUCCAUCCCCAUAAGGUCUGCUGUUCUUCUAAAGGCAGCUUGGUACCAACAUCCCGAACAGCUUAUUCUUCUGCUGGCUGCACUCUAGAAAUCUUCUAAGAACUGCUCCUGUUUGUAGGGAUGUUUGUUUGUUUGUUUUGUGUUGAGGAGGUCUUUGCAUGUCCUGCUUCAGGUGCUGUGAAUUAAAAAUAAAGCAAAAUAUUACAGGCUCUGGAAUUAAUUCUGCUGAGCAGGACUCCUGCUACUGAGGUAAGGCAGGAACUAAUUCAUGAAGCCUAAUAGGGAACAAGAACUCAGCCCCAAAAUGGAGUUUGAUGUGAGGUCUGUUACACUUUUUGCCAACGGCACUAGUUAUGUUUGAUUCUUCACUGUGCUAUUUGCAGUUCAUCUGUAUUGUUUGCUGUGAAAACUCAAAUUACAACUGUUCAUUGAUCUUGGUUCCCAAGUCUGCAUCUGCACCCACUGUUGUACAAAGCUGCUGGCUACUUCCUUUUACCUCUGCCCUAAGAAUGCUACCUGAUGAGUGUUUCUGCCCUCAUCUGACAGCUGCAGCUUUGUACCUGAGCUCUUGGCAUGCAUGUAGUCAGUAUUUUGAAUGAUACCUUCCAUCAAACUGAUUGCUCAAAGGGAUGUUUCUGGCUGAGGUUCCCACCUUCUCUGAUCCAGCCUCUGCUGGAUCUUAAAAUAAUGGUGUCUAUUAGCAUAUUGCAGCAUAGUGAUGUAUUAAAUAACACUUAAGAAUGGAAAUACUCCUCAUUUUCUUGUAUCGGGAAGAGUGGUAGGAAAGAGGGAGGUGAAAAUUCAGAAAUCUUCAAUGUGACAGGGAAGAGUUAAGAAGAACAAUACAGAGUCAUUUCAACAGACAGAUUCAUAGCAGUUUUAUGAUACGAGUUUGGAGGUGUGAAACGAUGAUAAGUGUAAUUCUCAUAUCCUUGGUUUUGUUUCUUCUGAGUGCGCAGUUCCUGAGUCUGCAAUGGAAGAGUCGUGGAUUUCCUCCUGGACCGACCCCAUUUCCCAUCAUUGGAAGCUUCUGGUGGAUAAACUUUAGAGCUGAUCAUGGGAGCCUGGAAAAGCUGGCAAAAACCUAUGGCAACAUCUGCACCCUGUGGUUGGGUCACAGACCUAUGGUGGUGCUCUAUGGGUUCCAAGCUGUGAAGAAUGGUCUCACCACCAACUCAGAGGAUGUUUCGGGGCGACUACAGACCUAUGUUUUCAAUAAAAUGGCAAGUGGAAAGGGUAUCUUGGUCUCAAAUGGUCUCAUCUGGAAACAACAGAGACAUUUUGGAAUUGGAACUCUCCGAAAACUGGGAAUGGGGAAUAAAGGAAUGGAGCGUGGGAUACAAACUGAGGCCCGUUACCUGGUCGAGUUCUUCAGAGAUAAAGCAGGAGAAGCUAUUGACCCUUCCUUCCCUAUUGUCCACGCUGUCUCUAAUGUGAUUUGUGCUGUGGUUUUUGGACAUCGUUUCUCCCUAGAGGAUAAAACCUUCCGCCAGCUGAUUGAAGCCUUCAAUUGUAUAGUGGCUUUUGGGAACAGCCACUUUUAUUAUAUAUGUGAAACAUUCCCGUGGGCUGCGAUGUGCCUCCCAGGACCUCUACAUAAAACAAAACUUUCCUGGGAUUUUGUGCGUUCCUUUGUAAGGCAGGAAAUCAAAAGCCACAGAGAAAAAGGCAGAAUAGAUGAACCAGAAGAUUUCAUUGACUUUUACUUGAAGCAGCUAGAGAAAGCUAAAAAUGUCCCCAAUUCUACAUUUGAUGAAGACAACAUGGUGCAGUCUGUGUUUGACCUUUUCCUGGGUGGCUCAGAGACCACAGCCACCACUCUGCGCUGGGCUCUGCUCUAUAUGUUGAUUUAUCCUGACAUCCAAGAGAAAGUCCAGGAAGAGCUGGAUGCUGUUCUGAGUCCCUCCCAUCUCAUCUGCUAUGAGGAUCGGAAGAAGCUGCCCUACACAAACGCCGUGAUUCAUGAGAUCCUCCGCUUCAGCAGCAUUGUUCUGAUCACAAUUCCUAGAGAAGCUGUGAAGGAUACCACUGUUUUGGGGUAUCAUGUUCCAAAGAACUGUGCCAACUGCAUCUUCCUUUCAGGGCACUCUAAUUAUGGCAAAUAUAGACUCUACUCUUUUUGACCCUGCCUAUUGGGAGACCCCUCACCAGUUCAACCCUGGCCAUUUCUUGGACAAGGAUGGAAAUUUUGUGACUCGAGAGGCCUUCUUAGCCUUCUCAGCAGGUCACCGUGUUUGUCUGGGAGAGGUGAUGGCUAAGAUGGAGUUUUUCAUCAUCUUCUGCAGCCUGUUGCAGAAAUUCAAGUUUACUGUGCCAGAAGGAGUUAAGGAAAUCAACACAGACUUUAUCUUUGGGAGCACCAUGAAACCCCAUCCAUACAAGCUCUGUGCAGUUCUGCGCUAGGUUGCUCUGUGUUCGAUAUUUAAGAGGCACAGACACAGGUGUGGUAGUGUGCUGGUAUUUGUGAAGCUUUAUAGUUCUAAUUUUUAGCUUAAAUUCAGUGCAAACCUAUCCUUGUUGUGUUACGUGUCUGAGAAGCCAGCCCUGAAAAAUACUCUCGUUUUCUUAUGUCUGGAAAGUGUCUGUACUUUUUUUUUCUCUGCUGUGUUACAAAUGAAAUAAACAUAGACAAUUA